UACGUAGGGUGCGAGCGUUGUCCGGAAUUACUGGGCGUAAAGCGUGCGCAGGCGGUUUGGUAAGACAGAUGUGAAAUCCCCGGGCUUAACCUGGGAAUGGCAUUUGUGACUGCCCGGCUAGAGUGUGUCAGAGGGAGGUGGAAUUCCACGUGUAGCAGUGAAAUGCGUAGAUAUGUGGAGGAAUACCGAUGGCGAAGGCAGCCUCCUGGGAUAACACUGACGCUCAUGCACGAAAGCGUGGGGAGCAAACAGG
rnacentral:rRNA from 1 species